ACACGGGUAAGGGGCUGGCCUGCAGUGGGGCUGGGAGGGCAGGCCUCGGUGAGCUCAGCCUCAAAGGCCUCCUUCUCUGCAGGCUCUCAGGUCCUCAGAAUCAGGGA
ensembl:miRNA Mir1668 microRNA 1668